CGAAAACCUAACUACACUCUAACCUCCUCUCCCUCUCGCCGCCACCUCCCCUUCCCCACUUUUCUACUUUAUUCUUUAACCAUGGCUAAACUAAGGAGACCGAUAAUGACAAAGAAGAGCGAGAGAAAACCCAAUCGCUUCUCAAUUCUCGGACAGAAGAGGUAAGCUCAUAUCUCUAUAUUUUAGAGAUUGUAAAUCUUUUUAUACCUACUUCACUUGGAUUUUUGGGUACAAUUUUGUGAAUUAUUCCGGCAAUUUGAUAGAUAUUGUAUCUUAUUUUUGAUUAGUGAUUGAGAAUUUGAACAGAAAAACAAUAUUACAAAAUUGGGAUGAAGAUAAUUUAAUGGCGUAACUGGUAAAGUUGUCUUCAUGUGACCGGAAGGUCACGAGUUCGAGCCAUGGAAACAACCUAUUGCAGAAAUGUAGGGUAAGAUCGAUAUACUCUUGUCGUUCGGCCUUUCCUUGGACUCCGCACAUAGUGGUAGUUUAGUGCACCAGGCAUCCUUUUGGGAUGAAGAUAACUUAAGUUGUUUAAAAAGUGUUCAAAAUUUUCUUUUUUACUUCUUUUGUUUCUUUGUGUUUUUUCAUGUUGUUAUCCGUUAGAAAUUCUUGUAAAAUAUUUAUCAAGACAUGUUUGUUGUCUGCUUGAAAUUAUUCUAUUAAUGUUUUUACUAAUUGAACUUACAUCUUUGUGUUAAAGUUUCAAUUCAGUUGUAUCUGUUAAACAUAUAUGAUCAUUUAUUUUUGCUUCAUGGUGUUAAUUUUUUUUUUUUUUUUGACAGGUAAAUUGGUGGAGUUAGAGCAAUGAAUAAUUAAAGACCAAGAUAAGGUGCAGUUGAAGAUCCGAGGAGGAGUAAAAGAAGAAACGGUGUCUCAAGCAAGAUGGUGUUGUAGAAAAAUUGUGCAUCGUGAAUGCUUUGAAAUUUGCAAUUAUGUGUAACUUGAAACCUAUUGUGAAAUGUAAAUUCUUUUUAUUCGUAGCUACUUUAUUAAAAGCUUAUGUGUAACUUUGAAUUUAUUUUGGAAUCUAAAAUAUUUAGAAUUUUAGCUAUUAUGAAAAAUAUUGUAACUAGUUAUUCUUGUAGCAAGUUCUUUAAUUUGUGGCAAUAAAAGUUUGAAUUCGUG
rnacentral:lncRNA from 1 species